rnacentral:rRNA from 1 species
CCUACGGGUGGCAGCAGUGAGGAAUAUUGGUCAAUGGACGAGAGUCUGAACCAGCCAAGUAGCGUGAAGGACGACUGCCCUAUGGGUUGUAAACUUCUUUUAUAUGGGAAUAAAAUGUUCCACGUGUGGGAUUUUGUAUGUACCAUAUGAAUAAGGAUCGGCUAACUCCGUGCCAGCAGCCGCGGUAAUACGGAGGAUCCGAGCGUUAUCCGGAUUGAUUGGGUUUAAAGGGAGCGUAGGUGGAUUGUUAAGUCAGUUGUGAAAGUUUGCGGCUCAACCGUAAAAUUGCAGUUGAAACUGGCAGUCUGGAGUACAGUAGAGGUGGGCGGAAUUCGUGGUGUAGCGGUGAAAUGCUUAGAUAUCACGAAGAACUCCGAUUGCGAAGGCAGCUCACUGGACUGCAACUGACACUGAGGCUCGAAAGUGUGGGUAUCAAACAGGAUUAGAUACCCGUGUAGUC